rnacentral:rRNA from 1 species
UUGUAAAGCACUUUCAGCGGGGAGGAAGGCGAUAAGGUUAAUAACCUUGUCGAUUGACGUUACCCGCAGAAGAAGCACCGGCUAACUCCGUGCCAGCAGCCGCGGUAAUACGGAGGGUGCAAGCGUUAAUCGGAAUUACUGGGCGUAAAGCGCACGCAGGCGGUCUGUCAAGUCGGAUGUGAAAUCCCCGGGCUCAACCUGGGAACUGCA